UUCUUAAUUGUGAUCAACAGGUUAACCCUUUUUCAUUACUCUUUGAUUUUGUUUUAAUUGUCUUUGUUAUGUCAACAUGUAUACACGAACUGGUUACUUUGAGGCUGCCGAUCGUCACGAUAUCAAUUAUUCCAGGAAUCGUGGUCAACGUAGAUACAGAAUGAGAAGGAGGAAAUACAAUGAGACACCAGAUGAAAUUGGAACAAUUAAUCCGGACAAUUUAACAAUUGUGAGGAAUCGAAUUGACAAUAAAUAUGCUGUUGAUCCAGUAAUUUGGCUCCUUAAAUUGAUCCAGAAAUCAAGUCGAGCUGGUAAAAGAUGACAACCACUUGUUUUCUAUUCCAAGAAAAAAAUUCUAUUCUAUUUUUGUUUCAAACAUCAACUACCAAUUCGUUAAAUGUGAUCUGUAAUAAUAAUCUGUAUAAAUGUGUCUCACUGUUGAUAGAAAAAAUCAACUCUUGAUCAUAAAUUUCAUAAAUUCCGAAUAAAAUUAAGUUCCGUAGUAAUUAGAUUAA